GUAACAAGGUUUCCGUAGGUGAACCUGCGGAAGGAUCAUUACCAAUUCAACGGUGUGGUCGCGGCCUCCGGGGGCUCCCCCCGGGCGGUAGAGGUAACACUCUUACGCGCCACAUGUCUGAAUCCUUUUUUUACGAGCACCUUUCGUUCUCCUUCGGUGGGGCAACCUGCCGUUGGAACUUAUCAAAACCUUUUUUGCAUCUAGCAUUACCUGUUCAGAUACAAACAAUCGUUACAACUUUCAACAAUGGAUCUCUUGGCUCUGGCAUCGAUGAAGAACGCAGCGAAAUGCGAUAAGUAGUGUGAAUUGCAGAAUUCAGUGAAUCAUCGAAUCUUUGAACGCACAUUGCGCCCCUUGGUAUUCCAUGGGGCAUGCCUGUUCGAGCGUCAUCUACACCCUCAAGCUCUGCUUGGUGUUGGGCGUCUGUCCCGCCUCUGCGCGUGGACUCGCCCCAAAUUCAUUGGCAGCGGUCUUUGCCUCCUCUCGCGCAGCACAUUGCGCUUUAGAGGGGUGUGGGCCGCGUCCACGAAGCAACAUUAUCGUCUUUGACCUCGGAUCAGGUAGGGAUACCCGCUGAACUUAAGCAUAUCAAUAA
rnacentral:misc_RNA from 1 species